UCUCUCAAUUUUUCCAGUCUCUCUCAAGCGGAAAAAAACCCCAAGUUACUACGAACACAGCCGCAGCCACCUUCACUCAAUCACAACUACCACCACUGUAAUCCCUCAUCCCAGAACCAAAAAUCUUUAUUAUUAUUUUCAUUUUGAUUUACUUGAAUCGAAAAAAUGUUCCUACCUCAUCAUUCUUUUCAGCAACGAAUACCUAGAUUUGCUUCAGUUACCACCAAUUUCACUAACCUAGUACUAUUAUUUCUAUGGUACUUAGAGCACGAAAUUAGUGAACUGGCAAACUACAUAUCCACUGUGGAAUUCCAUUCUUUGUCGCGGUGAGCUGCACAUCCUUAUAUGAUGGUAGAUCAUUUUAAAGAUGUCACUCCUCAAGAGACAAUCCAAAUGGAUAAAGAAUGCCUGAGAAACAUUAUCUUGGAAGGGUACCUUGGAGGACGUCACAUCGAGGAAGGAGCUAAGGAACUUCUUUCUCAGCUAGGUGCAUAUUGCUAGAGUUGGUGAUUUCCUGUUAGCUAGCUUGACAAGCUUAGCUGAUCCAUUUCUUGUUGUUAGCGAUCUCGCUGCAUGGAGUGCGAGUGUGUCAGAGCAGGGUCUUAUGUUAACUUUAAGUUCCACAAUGUUUCAUUUGAAAUGGUUAAAACUCAUAAUCCUUCUCAGCAUAUUCUCGUUGGAGGUGUCACUCUUGAAGAAGAAGCUGUUGGAUGUAUUCAGGGAGCUAUGGUCCAGUUAAGGAUGUUAAAAUCCCUGACAACAGAAAAGGAUGCUCUGAUUUGUUACGGUUCUUAACAUGGACACUAUCAAAAUAAUUCUAAAUGAAGGGAUCAUUUUCUUGUGGAACUCGAUUGCCGGCGAAGCCGUAUUGUGAAAAAUCAUGACUUGUUGAUAGGCGUAUUAGAUGCCAAUGCUGAAACUGGUACAGCUAAAGAGAAAACUAGGUUCUUCUGUUCUUGAUCUUGGUUGUGCUCUUCAGCCUUCAGGUGUUUGAGCUUUGGAGUCGAGCAUCCAGCUGCUUAAGUAGAUAAAUACUCUUGUCAUGCCUGCAACCUUUAUUCUUGUACCAACUAAGCAGCUGGAGAGGAUUGUUUUUUUGUCCAACAACACUUGAGUAAGAUUGAAUUGUUUUUGGGUAGAUUUCAUAAUGAAUAGAAGGAUUCGUUCGUAUUUGUGUUUCGGUAGAUUUGUAGAUUGAGAUUGUGUAAUAAUGAAUGUAGGAAUUGGUAGAAAGAAUAUGGAUAGUUUGCUGAAAAAAGAAAAUUCAAUUGUGUUUCAGGUUUAAUUGUAUUUCAGUCCUGUAAACUGAAAGUGCAGGUCCAUGAUAAUGACAUGUAUUACAGGCUUGUAAACUGGAAGCCCGGGUCCAUGAAAAUGAUCUGGGCUACCCAUUUUUUUUAAUUGUAAUUUAAAGAAAUGUCCCAGGUUUAACUGUUA